rnacentral:rRNA from 1 species
GACUUGUGUGCGCCUGCAUUCUGCGGUCACUUCCCAAAAGGGUUGUCCGACAUGCGGUGCAGGCGCCGUCAAACCUUCAACUGGAUCGCGUCUGGGCUUCAUUGUCUGGGCGCUGUCAUUCGGUUGAUCAUUUACUGUGAGAAAAUUAGAGUGUUCAAGGCAGGCAUUAUUGCAAUUGAAUAUGUUAGCAUGGAAUAAUAAGAUAAGGCUUUCGUCCUAUUUUGUUGGUUUCUAGAUCGGAAGUAAUGAUUGAUAGGGAUAGUUGGGGGUGCUAGUAUUCAACGGCCAGAGGUGAAAUUCAUGGAUUCGUUGAAGACUAACUUAUGCGAAAGCAUU